rnacentral:piRNA from 1 species
AGGGUGCUGAGAGCCCGCUGUGGCGU